rnacentral:lncRNA from 1 species
UGAACUGGAAAUUGAGAUAGAACAUGUGUGUUGAGUAGGAUUGAUGGAAAAGGAAGAAGACAUUUAGAGGCAGAAUGAAAAUGGUAAGAGGGAAGUUCAACUAUCUGUUCCCGAGUCUGGUUUAAAUUGAACAUUGCCAUCUUCUUUGUUCCUCAAGGCUUUCAGAAUUAUCUUCUUCUUUUCAUAAUUACCUACACCAGACAAAUUAUACAGCAAGGGUUUUCCAAAAACUCCUAAUGCCCCCCUAAAACAAGCACAACAAAACUCCUAGGAGGGGCACCUGAAUGUCAUAGUCGGCUGAGCAUCCAACUCUUGAUUUUGGCUCAGGUCAGGAUCUCAGGAUCUCAGGAUCAUGGGAUGGAACCCUGGAUAGGGCUCUGCACUCAGUGGGGAGUCUGCUUCUCUCUCUCUCUCUUUCCCUCUGCUACUCCCUCUGCUCUCUCUCUCUCUCAAAUAAAUAAAUAAAUUAUUUUUAAAAUCCCAGAAAUUCAGAGUUAGUGCCUCCCUACCCCUCUGACAGCUCAUGAAAUGCUCAACUAAGGUGAGAAGAAAACUCUGCCAAAAAUUCUUUCCUCAUCUCUCUAACUCAACAUGAGCCUCAACAAUCUUUUGGAAGCUAAGACUCGUGUUCCAAAGAGCACAGUGCCCUACUUAGAAUGGUUGUAAAGUCAGAAACUCUCUUCUAAUUAUCACAAACAGUAAUUUGGUUUUUCUUUGAAAUAAUUUAUGCCUCGGAGUGAUUAGUUUGUCCUCUUUACAUAUUCAUAUCUUUGUGUUAAUCUAUUAUCUGUAGCUAUGCCUUUUCCAGUUUUGUAAAAAAGCAUUUUUAGAAGGAUAAGCACUGGUUUCUUCAUGGUAAUAUUUGAUUAACCUCAAUAAGUGAUUUGGCAAAUUGUUUGCUUUUAAAGAUGUAAAUGUAAAUGUGAGGGGAGAGUUUUCUUUCCAAAAUAAUUAUGACAGUGCCCAGGUGACUUAGUGAGCCAAGAUACUCCUAAACACUUGGGCCUAGCCUCCACUUGGGAAUCUGGCUGCAAAAUGCAGAAAGACUCUUCAAUUUACUUUUAGACUGAUGGCUGUAAGCUGUCUAAUUGCAAAUGAGUAGUUGCAAAUGCCCCACUCCUCAGAGGCUAGGGCAAUUUCCUUCCGUCUGUAAUUAUUAACAGGGGCAAAUGAAUAUCCAUCUGGGAGGAUAUUAAGAAAGAAUCCCCAUAAAGAACUAGUAGCAUAAUGAACUCUAUCCCAAAAAUAUAUCAGAUAGGUAGGCCUGUGGGUGGAUUGAAAGGGAGACCUAUAUGGUUUUACAGUUACCUAAAGCAGCAAAAAUUAUAGAAGUCAGGACAAGAGGAUGCCCCAGAAGUAAGACUCGUUUAUCUCUAAUUAUUGGUCUGCUAUCUGUGUUCUCACAUCUACCUCCACCUGAUACUGUCCAGUGGAGUCAGGAGACCUAUAUCAUAUGCCUGGCUUUGCCUUAUCCUUGCUAUGUGGCUGGGGGAAUUUUAUAUCAUCUCCGAGUCCCAUCCUGGGUUUCCUAUUCUGAAAAUGAGGACAAAAGUGUGUUGCCUCCACUCAAGAUGGUAGCCAUGAGGAUAAUGUGUAGUAAUUUUGGAACUGUCUCAGCGUCCUUAAGAGCUCUGUGUCUGCCUCAUUGACAAGACAGGUCUAAGGGAGACCUCCCCCAAGUCUCCCUCCUUGUGUUCACAGAUGGAACCUCUGUGUUUCCCUGCAUUCUGUUAUUUGCCAUCCAACCCCAAUUACAGACUGCUCUGAUGAGGACCUUCUGCUCCUCCCCUUGCCCUUCCCACAUAAUCUUCUUCCAAGUACUUAGAACUUCCCAAGAUGGCCUUCAGCCAAAAUGUAGUGUCCGGAUCCUUUUUGAUCCACACUCAAGAGUUCUAGACUAGACCAGUUCAAUCAUACUCAACCCCUUGUCCUAAAACUCUGACAGGGACAUGGCCUCAGGCUUCAGCUUGCCAGGAAGGGAUUUAGGACCGGUUGAUAUGUGAAGGUGCUGUAGACUGUAUAAUUCUACAAUAUUCUAUUGUAAAGUGGCCACUGCCAAGGUCAUUUUCAUGGAUAAUCCAAAAGAUCCUUAUAGUUUAUACAAUACUGGGGUGUUCGCUGAACCUUCUGAGGCAACCCAUUCCAUCUGUGGAUAGCUCCAAUGAUUGAACUGGAAUGUGGGUUCCAGUGUGGUUCAAGUGCUACUCAUUGGUGCCAUACAGAAACCUUAUCAGCAUUCUGCAUAAUAAUUAUAUACAUAUUUAAAGACAUUUUCUUUUCUGCCCAAAAGAAAUCUGUUUUUUUUUUCCUGUUGUUUCUCGUGGAUAUACUGCCUAAUUCUGCAUUGCCUUGUUUUCUUCUCUCUUAAACACCUCCAAAACAAAGCAAAACAAAACACCCACCUCCAGUCUUCCUAGCUUGAUUGUACUACUAAUAAUGGCCAGUACUAACAUUUAGCUAAUAAUCUGCCAACUUCUCAACAAGAUUCUGAUGGAUGCUUUUGCGAAAUUUUUAGUGAAGGUCCAAAUACAGACUAAGAAUGAAGUCCCAAAAGUCUAGCUUAUUUCCUUAUCUGCAAGCCUGGUGCAUUAUCAAUGAGAGAAAUCAAUUUUAUUUGACAUGAUUUAUUCUUAGUGAAUCCGUGCAGGUUUCUGGUGAUCACCACUUCUUCUCAAAGUAAGCCAUUUUAGCAUCUUGACCAGAAUUCAUUUUCAUUCUCUUUCUAGAAAGCAGAAUGGGUUCUCAGUUUUUGGACAUUCCUUGUUCUCUUUAACUCCUCCCAGACUAAUGACAACGUUCCAGCCAUCUCUUUAACAACAUCUCUCAUUUUUAUCUUUUGAUAAGAGACGAAGGGAAGAACACCAUUUGGAUUGAAGAAUAAAUGCCUCUAACUGUGUGUGUCUGGGGUAGGCACUUUCUGUGUAAACCUGUUACUUCUGAGGUCCAAGAAUUCUCUUCAGAGAGGCCGGUGAGUUGAGACAGGAUCCUCUACCACCUUGAAAAGCCACAAUCCACAACCCUCCUGGUUCGUGCAUGGUCCCAAAGAGCAUGCAUUAUUUCCUGGUAGACAGGGUCCACAGCAUGCAUAGAAAGGAAAUAAUCAUGAGCAGAAUCAAGAGGGAUAGGCGAGUAAAUGAGGGAUGAAAUGAAUGAACAUUAGAACCUGUGUUUUAAAACUUCCCAAUGUGCAACGCCCCUAGAAAAGAGAGAGAGAACUAUAUUUGUCUCCGUAUUUCUCCACUUGGGUUUGGCAUAAUCAGCAACAUCUCUUCUGUGAGGGAGAAGACAAGUGUCUGCUGGUCUGGAUUAAGAUGCAUUAACAGGGGAAGCAUAUGGUCAUUUACACAGGGCCUGUUCCCACUCUGUGCCAAGGUUAACAAAUUAAUAAAAAGGAAGCGUACCGCGUAAAUGUUGAACCUCAUUAAGCAUGAGAUCAUCACUCCGAGCUAUCUUUGUUUUACAAGAAUCUAAAUGAAAGAAAUGCAAGCCCCACUUCCAUACAUGCUCGCUGAAAAUCACUCUUAGAAUAGCUGAUCAUACUUUUGAGGACAGACAACAGCAGUUUUUAACUGGAAGAUGGUGAAGACAGCUUCUGUUCUAAAA